GGCGGCAGCUUACACAUGCAAGUCGAGCGGUAACAGGGGGUGCUUGCACCCCGCUGACGAGCGGCGGACGGGUGAGUAAUGCAUAGGAAUCUGCCCAGUAGUGGGGGAUAGCCCGGGGAAACCCGGAUUAAUACCGCAUACGCCCUUUGGGGGAAAGCAGGGGAUCUUCGGACCUUGCGCUAUUGGAUGAGCCUAUGUCGGAUUAGCUAGUUGGUGGGGUAAAGGCCUACCAAGGCGACGAUCCGUAGCUGGUCUGAGAGGAUGAUCAGCCACAUCGGGACUGAGACACGGCCCGAACUCCUACGGGAGGCAGCAGUGGGGAAUAUUGGACAAUGGGGGCAACCCUGAUCCAGCCAUGCCGCGUGUGUGAAGAAGGCUUUCGGGUUGUAAAGCACUUUCAGUGAGGAGGAAAACCUUCUGGUUAAUACCCAUGAGGCUUGACGUUACUCACAGAAGAAGCACCGGCUAACUCCGUGCCAGCAGCCGCGGUAAUACGGAGGGUGCAAGCGUUAAUCGGAAUUACUGGGCGUAAAGCGCGCGUAGGUGGUUUGAUAAGCGAGAUGUGAAAGCCCCGGGCUUAACCUGGGAACGGCAUUUCGAACUG
rnacentral:rRNA from 1 species